GACGAACGCUGGCGGCGUGCUUAACACAUGCAAGUCGAACGGAAAGGCCCUGCUUUUGUGGGGUGCUCGAGUGGCGAACGGGUGAGUAACACGUGAGUAACCUGCCCUUGACUUUGGGAUAACUUCAGGAAACUGGGGCUAAUACCGGAUAGGAGCUCCUGAUGCAUGGUGGGGGUUGGAAAGUGUCGGCGGUUGGGGCUGGACUCGCGGCUUAUCAGCUUGUUGGUGGGGUAGGGGCUUACGAAGGUUUUGACGGGUAGCCGGCCUGAGAGGGCAACCGGCCACAUUGGGACUGAGGUACGGCCCAGACUCCUACGGGAGGCAGCAGUGGGGAAUAUUGCACAAUGGGCGGAAGCCUGAUGCAGCAACGCCGCGUGCGGGAUGACGGGCUUCGGGUUGUAAACCGCUUUCGCCUGUGACGAAGCGUGAGUGACGGUAAUGGGUAAAGAAGCACCGGCUAACUACGUG
rnacentral:rRNA from 1 species